rnacentral:rRNA from 1 species
ACCAGACUCCUACGGGAGGCAGCAGUGGGGGAUAUUGCACAAUGGGGGAAGCCCUGAUGCAGCGACGCCGCGUGAGUGAAGAAGUAUUUCGGUAUGUAAAGCUCUAUCAGCAGGGAAGAAAAAAGACGGUACCUGACUAAGAAGCCCCGGCUAACUACGUGCCAGCAGCCGCGGUAAUACGUAGGGGGCAAGCGUUAUCCGGAUUUACUGGGUGUAAAGGGAGCGUAGACGGCAAUACAAGUCGGAAGUGAAAUACCUGGGCUCAACCUGGGAACUGCUUUGGAAACUGUAUGGCUAGAGUGCUGGAGAGGUAAGCGGAAUUCCUAGUGUAGCGGUGAAAUGCGUAGAUAUUAGGAGGAACACCAGUGGCGAAGGCGGCUUACUGGACAGUAACUGACGUUGAGGCUCGAAAGCGUGGGGAGCAAACAGGAUUAGAUACCCCAGUAU